GUGGGUUGUUCGUACUUCCGGGCCCAAAACGGGGCAGGAUGUCGGGCAUGGGCAGUAGUUUGGGUCGUGUCAAGCUAACCCCAAAAAGCCAUUUGAAAACGUGCUCGGCUUCAAAGGUGUAGACUUUUACCAGCUGAGGUCUUCGCCCUUCAGAUCCGGAGAUCGAUGAUGGUUUGGAAACUGCCAAUCACUACAGGCAUCAUUAAGGAGGUGAAGGUUGCUAAAAUAAGCAAACUGGGCACUCCGAAGAUUUUGAAAAUUUUUCAAGUUUUCUGGUGAGUUUGAGGUUUUGCCGUGGCUGGCUUGAUUCUCGAUUGUUUUAAGGUAAGUUCAACAGUAUCUUUUCUUUAUCCUCGUCGGCGCUGAAAAAUUUGUUAUAAUAAUAUCUUUGGAUGUAAUUAG